rnacentral:rRNA from 1 species
UACGGAGGGGGCUAGCGUUGUUCGGAAUUACUGGGCGUAAAGCGCACGUAGGCGGCUUUGUAAGUUAGAGGUGAAAGCCCGGGGCUCAACUCCGGAAUUGCCUUUAAGACUGCAUCGCUCGAAUUGUGGAGAGGUAAGUGGAAUUCCGAGUGUAGAGGUGAAAUUCGUAGAUAUUCGGAAGAACACCAGUGGCGAAGGCGACUUACUGGACACAGUAUUGACGCUGAGGUGCGAAAGCGUGGGAGCAAACAGG